AUGACAUCAGAGAAGACCUUCAGGCCACACCACACCUUUGAACAAAGAGUAGAAGUUUGACUUCUCCGAGAGCAGCAUCCACCCAAAAUCUUGGUAGUAACAGAACGAUACAAGGCUGAGAAGCAGCUUCCCGUCCUGGAUAAAGCAAUGUUCCUUGUACUGGACCACAUCAACCUGAGUGAGCUCAUCAAGAUCAUUAGAAGGUCCUUCCAGCUCAGUGCUAAUCAAGCCUUCCUCCUGGCGGUGAACAGACACAGCAUUGUAGCAGAGUGAGAAGGAUGAAGAUGGAUUCCUGUACAUGGUCUGUGUCUCCCAGGAGACAAUUGGAAUGAAAUUGUCAGUGU
rnacentral:lncRNA from 1 species